CCUCCUCGGGGGGCAGCAGUGAGGAAUAUUGGUCAAUGGGAGGAAUCCUGAACCAGCCAUGCCGCGUGCAGGACGACGGCUCUACGAGUUGUAAACUGCUUUUGUACCGGGGUAAAAUGCCUUACGAGUAGGGUUUUGAAAGUACGGUACGAAUAAGCACCGGCUAACUCCGUGCCAGCAGCCGCGGUAAUACGGAGGGUGCAAGCGUUACUCGUAAUCACUGGGCGUAAAGAGCGCGUAGGCGGGAUAGAAAGUCAGAU
rnacentral:rRNA from 1 species